rnacentral:rRNA from 1 species
GAUGAACGCUGGCGGCGUGCCUAAUACAUGCAAGUCGAGCGAACAGACGAGGAGCUUGCUCCUCUGACGUUAGCGGCGGACGGGUGAGUAACACGUGGAUAACCUACCUAUAAGACUGGGAUAACUUCGGGAAACCGGAGCUAAUACCGGAUAAUAUAUUGAACCGCAUGGUUCAAUAGUGAAAGACGGUUUUGCUGUCACUUAUAGAUGGAUCCGCGCCGCACUAGCUAGUUGGUAAGGUAACGGCUUACAAAGGCAACGAUGCGUAGCCGACCUGAGAGGGUGAUCGGCCACACUGGAACUGAGACACGGUCCAGACUCCUACGGGAGGCAGCAGUAGGGAAUCUUCCGCAAUGGGCGAAAGCCUGACGGAGCAACGCCGCGUGAGUGAUGAAGGUCUUCGGAUCGUAAAACUCUGUUAUUAGGGAAGAACAAAUGUGUAAGUAACUAUGCACGUCUUGACGGUACCUAAUCAGAAAGCCACGGCUAACUACGUG